rnacentral:rRNA from 1 species
GACGAACGCUGGCGGCGUGCUUAACACAUGCAAGUCGAACGGUAGGCCCCUUCGGGGGUACCCGAGUGGCGAACGGGUGAGUAACACGUGAGCAACCUGCCCUUGACUCUGGAAUAACAGUUGGAAACAGUUGCUAAUACUGGAUAUUCAUCGUCUCCUUCCUGGGGGGUGGUGGAAAGCUCCGGCGGUCAGGGAUGGGCUCGCGGCCUAUCAGCUUGUUGGUGAGGUAAUGGCUCACCAAGGCUUCGACGGGUGGCCGGCCUGAGAGGGCGACCGGCCACACUGGGACUGAGAUACGGCCCAGACUCCUACGGGAGGCAGCAGUGGGGAAUAUUGCACAAUGGGCGCAAGCCUGAUGCAGCAACGCCGCGUGCGGGAUGACGGCCUUCGGGUUGUAAACCGCUUUCAGUAGGGACGAAGGGUGACUGACGGUACCUACAGAAGAAGGACCGGCUAACUACGUG